rnacentral:rRNA from 1 species
AUUGAACGCUGGCGGCAGGCCUAACACAUGCAAGUCGAGCGGAGCGGCGGACGGGUGCGUAAUGGCAAGGAAUCUGCCAGGUAGUGGGGGAUAACGGCCAGAAACGGGAGCUAAUACCGCAUACUAUCAGAUGAGCCUAGGUCGGACUAGCAAGUGGGUGGGGUAAAGGACUACAAAGGCGACGGUGCGUAACUGGUCUGAGAGGAUGAUCAGUCACAUGGGAACUGGGAGACGGUCCAGCCUCCUACGGGAGGGAGCAGUGGGGAAUAUUGGACAAUGGGCGAAAGCCGGAUCCAGCCAGGCCGCGUGUGUGAAGAAGGUCUUCGGAUUGUAAAGCACUUUAAGUUGGGAGGCGUUACCAACAGAAUAAGCACCGGCUAACUUCGUGCCAGCAGCCGCGGUAAUAC